GACAGAGGUGCCGAGCGUUAGGCGGAAUCACUGGGCUUAAAGCGUGUGUAGGCGGGUCGUUAAGUGUCUUGUGAAAUCCCACCGCUCAACGGUGGAACUGCUGGGUAUACUGGUUGUCUUGAGCCAGCUAGGGGCGAGCGGAACAGACGGUGGAGCGGUGAAAUGCGUAGAUAUCGUCUGGAACGCCGAGGGUGAAAACAGCUCGCUGGGGCUGCGCUGACGCUGAGACACGAAAGCCAGGGGAGCGAACGGG
rnacentral:rRNA from 1 species